CGCCCUGAAUCCGGCUGCACACAGAACACACCCCCACCGCAACGCCUGCGAAACUAGCACACGGCGCAGCCACGUCUGCCACAACACACAGCAGGUGCGAUGUGCGGGCACACGCGCGCAGAGUCCACACUCUUAAGAAAAAGAAAGGUGGAUGGAAAGCCCGGGAAGUGGUGUUUUGGGCUCCUGGAGCCACAUGCUUCGCCGUCUGAUGGCAGCCCAGAGUCCCUGAGAAGUGUCGCUUUGGUAACUGGAGACCUUCCAAGCUCCCUGCUCCUUUUGGGGGCAGUGAUGACACGUCUGGAUUCGAGAAGGAGCAAAGGCCCUGGGGCUCAAUAAGCAUGGUUGUGUUGCCAUCCUGAGGCGAGACACCUGGACAAGACGUGUGAAUACUAGGGUUUCUGAUACUAAUACAAACUUGUUCCAAUCCAAUCCAACAGCAAUACCAGGGUUACUGUUUUCCCUCUGAGCAAGGCUCGAACAACGUGUCGGUCUCUGACGGGACAGUAAAUACUAUACGAUGAAUAAAAUCAGGUUUCUUAUUU